AAUGGUUGAGCCUGAGUCAUUGAACUGAUUAGAUCACUAAGUGACUCGAGUUGACCCAUAUCGUUAAGAUUAAUCAGUAUGAUUGAUUUAGGUGCCUUGGAUCGACUUAUCUCUAGUCCUUCUCAUGACUUGGUGAAGUCAGUGGGAGGAUUUACGACAUGCCAGUUGGACCUGCUACUCACUAAUCCUUUUCAUGACUUGAUGAAGUCAGUGGAAGGAUUUAUGAUUUGUAGAUCGAUUGAUAUCUUAUUAAAUAAAUUAAUCAAAUCUUCUAAAUUAUUAGAUCCAUAAAAUGAGCU
rnacentral:lncRNA from 1 species